rnacentral:rRNA from 1 species
UACAGGGGGGGUAAGCGUUGUUCGGAAUUACUGGGCGUAAAGGGUCUGUAGGUGGCUUGCUAAGUCUGACGUGAAAUCCCUCAGCUUAACUGGGGAACUGCGUCUGAUACUGGUGAGCUUGAGUGCAGGAGAGGAACGCGGAAUUCCAGGUGUAGCGGUGAAAUGCGUAGAUAUCUGGAGGAACACCGGUGGCGAAGGCGGCGUUCUGGACUGCAACUGACACUGAGAGACGAAAGCCAGGGGAGCAAACGGG